UACGUAGGGUGCAAGCGUUGUCCGGAAUUAUUGGGCGUAAAGGGCUUCUAGGCGGCCUGUCGCGUCGACUGUGAAAACUCGGGGCUCAACCCCGAGCCUGCAGUCGAUACGGGCAGGCUCGAGUUCGGUAGGGGAGAUCGGAAUUCCUGGUGUAGCGGUGAAAUGCGCAGAUAUCAGGAGGAACACCGGUGGCGAAGGCGGAUCUCUGGGCCGAAACUGACGCUGAAGAGCGAAAGUGUGGGGAGCGAACAGG
rnacentral:rRNA from 1 species